GAUGAACGCUGGCGGCGUGCCUAAUACAUGCAAGUCGAGCGAACGGACGAGAAGCUUGCUUCUCUGAUGUUAGCGGCGGACGGGUGAGUAACACGUGGAUAACCUACCUAUCAGACUGGGAUAACUUCGGGAAACCGGAGCUCAUACCGGAUAAUAUUUUGAACCGCAUGGUUCAAAAGUGAAAGACGGUCUUGCUGUCACUUAUAGAUGGAUCCGCGCUGCAUUAGCUAGUUGGUAAGGUAACGGCUUACCAAGGCAACGAUGCAUAGCCGACCUGAGAGGGUGAUCGGCCACACUGGAACUGGGACACGGUCCAGACUCCUACGGGAGGCAGCAGUAGGGAAUCUUCCGCAAUGGGCGAAAGCCUGACGGAGCAACGCCGCGUGAGUGAUGAAGGUCUUCGGAUCGUAAAACUCUGUUAUUAGGGAAGAACAUAUGUGUAAGUAACUGUGCACAUCUUGACGGUACCUAAUCAGAAAGCCACGGCUAACUACGUG
rnacentral:rRNA from 1 species